GCAUCAGUUGUGGUAAUGCUGGAGAGCUGCACAACAAACAUUCCAUUGCCUAGACAACCAAAUUUCACUUCUGUCAGGGCCUCUAUAGACCCUGAAAUUUCUCUGGAAGUGCAUGAAGUAGCAUUGUCAAGCUAAUAACACUCACAAAACACACUUCGACGUAGCAUAUCAUUGCUGUAAUUUUCUGGUACAAAACUCACACAAGGAAGGGCUUACAAUGGAGGAAGACACACACAAACUGCUGCUGUUUCUUCUUCUCUGUUACUUCCCCGGUUUCUGCUCACUUUCGACUGCUACCCACUGCCCUUCUCUCAAUAAUUUCAGCUCCAUGUAACCUACCACUUGGAAAAAAUAAUACACUUAACACACAUUCAACUCUAGCUAACAUUAAGCUAACUCUAGCCAACUAGCCUUACAGCACAGUAACAUUAACAGUUGGUCCUGUCGGAAAAAAAGAGAUGAUAUUUGUAUAGGUAUUUUGUCAAUCAAUUUCUUACAUAAACAAAAACAAUUUUUUGUGGUCUAUAAAUUGAUCCUAUUGUUUGUUUUAAUUUAACCUUUUAAUGUGCUCUAAGGAGAAAAUUCAGCGUUAACCAUUGAGGUAGUGGAUUGAGAGCAGACUCAUCACAGGUUUAGGCCAAGAGCUCUUUCACAAGCAGAAACUGUUCCCAAUCAUCUGUGCAAACCAGCCACCAUUGUUUACCACAAUUUAAUUGUAAAAUGAGACUUCAAUGCUUGUUGCAAGCUAAGGAAGAAAUGUAAUGUGGAUGUACCAUGAGUGACACAUGCUUAAAAACUGCAUAUCCUGUCGAUAAUCACCACCUGUAAGUAUAAAACGAUUACUAUUAUAAGUUGAUAAGUGUCACGACCCGAAUCCCGGAUCCAUGACCGACACAUAGGCAAGGUUCCCCUCAAAGGUUCCAUACCUAUGCGAACCCAAACUUACACACAAACUUAUCCUAACUCAAUCAGAGUUCAACGCAGCAUUAAUAACAAAAUCAACUUCAUAAUAUAAUUGAAUUGUCUUAAUACAAGAGUUAAUAUAAUGCAGAGUUUUGGAGCACUAACUUGACAUUAAAGGAAGGUACAAAUUACAACCAAAAAGCAGGUUCGGAAGGUUCAACAAAAUGACCUGCUAUCAAGCUAUAAGCCUGAAAAGGAUAAAUAAUGAGAUGGUGAGUUCAACAACUCAGUGAGUAGAUAACGUUCAAUAUACACACACGAGGUAAUAAAACAAUGAGAAAUAUAUAUACAAGUAUGGCUUUAGGUUCUUAUGGAAAUGUUUCUCAAAUUGACCAUAACAAGAAUGUCAUAUGGUAAAACUCGUCAGAAAAUCAAAUGCAAUGAGCAUGAGGCUCCGUACUGUGGGAUGAUCAGUCCACACAGGUUGGUGACUCCCUCGACCAACUAGGGUUCAGAUACAAUGUGCACAAAGACUAACACUACCCUGUUAGCAUGGGUAUUCUGACUGACAUACCAUAGGUUCAUAAUCAUAAUCUAACAAACAUAUUCAUAUCUCAAAGCUCAACUCAUGACAUCAAUAAAAUGAAGAGCUAUCAAUUCAGAGGUCAAUUCAAAAUAUAUGUUGGUUCAUAUCAAGAAUUCAGAUUCAAUAAUUGAUCAUGCUUUAUCAUAACAAGGAUAAUAAUCAACAUAUAUAUUAUUAAGAAGCAUGAUUCAAUUCAUAUUAACAAAUCAAAUAUUUAUACUAUUUCUCAUGCAUAUGGAAAAUUAUCCACUCAUCUGACUCGAAAGCAACAAAACUCAAAGCUGAUAUCGAAGGAAAUCCUACUGACGUCCCGCCGGUAGAAUAUCAGGAUUAUCUGAAUACAAAUGAGACAUGUUCAAGAAUGACUCAAAAAAACAUAUAACCUAUUUAAUACACUUAUCUAAGGGUGUAUUCCAUAACCCUAUAUGUUUUUGAACUAACUAGUCAAUUUUCUCAAAAACCCAAAAUUUAACGGUUUUCCCGAAAUCUAAUCCAUAAUAAAACAACUAAUAAAAUUGAUAAUAAUUCACUAAAUAACCCUCAAUUAUUCAUCAAAUCAAUCUGCAAAAAUUAAUAUUACAGCUAGGGACUAAUCUGUAAUUUAUCCUAUUUUUAAGGGUCAAAUUGCAACUUUUGUCAAAUUGAAGGACCAAACUGAAAUUUGUCAUAAAUCCAUUACUAUACUGAAUUUCUGACCAUAAUUAGUCCUCAUUUCUGUCCAGAUCAUCUCAUUAUACUCCAAGGACCAUUCUGGAAUUUUACCAAAUUUUUAGGGUCAAAUUGUAAUUUUUGUCAAAUUGGAGGACUAAAUUGAAAGUGUUAAAAUUUCAUAACUAUACUAGAAUUCUGCCCUUAAUUCAUAUAUUAUUCUGUUCAGAAUCUCGGAAUAGGCUCCAGGGACCAAUCUGUAAAUUUUCCAAAGUUUGGGGACUAAAAUGUAAUUUUCCAAAAUUGAGGGACCAAACCGAAAUUGUCAUCUUCAACCUCAAACCCAGAAUUCUCACAGAUUACCUACUGUUCUUGCCAAAUUUCUAACUCAACAUUCACCAUUUACACAAUUCAUAACUCAAAAUCAUCACAAUCUUCCAUAAUCAACUCAUUAAUCAAUUACCCAUAACAAUCAACCUUAUAACAUUCAAUUUAAUUCAUCAAUUAACCCAAAACACAAAUUUUCAAAACCCUAACAUUCAUCAAAACUGAAAUUAAAGCUUAAUUAACACAUAUUUAUACAUAAUCUUACCUUUAAACUUAUUUUCUUCAACUCCUUUCUAUUUCCCUUCUAAUUUCCCUCUUUUCUCUUCUUCUUCUUCUUUCUCCCUUCUCUCUCACGGUUUGCUCUCUCAAAUAUUCAGAUCUCCUUUUUUUUUUCUUCUUUCUAUUUAUAUUUAUCAUCUCUUUAUUCAAUUACUACUAUACCCCUCAUUCAUUUAUUCCAAC
rnacentral:lncRNA from 1 species